AAUGCGUAGAGAUCUGGAGGAAUACCGGUGGCGAAGGCGGCCCCCUGGACAAAGACUGACGCUCAGGUGCGAAAGCGUGGGGAGCAAACAGGAUUAGAUACCCUGGUAGUCCACGCCGUAAACGAUGUCUACUUGGAGGUUGUGCCCUUGAGGCGUGGCUUCCGGAGCUAACGCGUUAAGUAGACCGCCUGGGGAGUACGGCCGCAAGGUUAAAACUCAAAUGAAUUGACGGGGGCCCGCACAAGCGGUGGAGCAUGUGGUUUAAUUCGAUGCAACGCGAAGAACCUUAC
rnacentral:rRNA from 3 species